rnacentral:rRNA from 1 species
GACGAACGCUGGCGGCGUGCUUAACACAUGCAAGUCGAACGAAGAGCGACGGAAGCUUGCUUCUAUCAAUCUUAGUGGCGAACGGGUGAGUAACGCGUAAUCAACCUGCCCUUCAGAGGGGGACAACAGUUGGAAACGACUGCUAAUACCGCAUACGAUCUAAUCUCGGCAUCGAGGAUGGAUGAAAGGUGGCCUCUACAUGUAAGCUAUCACUGAAGGAGGGGAUUGCGUCUGAUUAGCUAGUUGGAGGGGUAACGGCCCACCAAGGCGAUGAUCAGUAGCCGGUCUGAGAGGAUGAACGGCCACAUUGGGACUGAGACACGGCCCAGACUCCUACGGGAGGCAGCAGUGGGGAAUCUUCCGCAAUGGACGAAAGUCUGACGGAGCAACGCCGCGUGAGUGAUGACGGCCUUCGGGUUGUAAAGCUCUGUUAAUCGGGACGAAAGGCCUUCUUGCGAAUAGUGAGAAGGAUUGACGGUACCGGAAGAGAAAGCCACGGCUAACCACGUG